rnacentral:siRNA from 1 species
UGUGGCUUUGGUACUACACUGCUC